UGUGACCGGAAACUGCCAUUUAAAGUGCAUUUUGAAGAGUCGCUCAGUCAGAAGGGAUCCAGUGGAGCGGGAGCGGAGCGGGAGCCAGAGCUUGAGCUUUACUCGUGUGUUAAGUGAAAAGAAGAAGCCUCCACUCUUGGCAUUCCCCAUUUUUUCCUGGUUUGUCCUUUGGUUUCUGCAUGCAAGCAUGCAGCUCCGUUUGUGAGGGGUCCUCCAGACCCUUCAGCCCCCUCUAAGCUCCGCCCUCAACCACCAACGCGUGUAAUCCAACUCCUUUUAAUUACAUUCAAUACCCCGUCCACAAACGUCGUCCGUCUGCUCCAAGGUGUUGGCAGCCAGUUUUUGUUUUGCUUUAUUUUUUUUGCUCCAUCUUUAACCUUCUGCCCAAAUAUCGAUUUUCAGGUCCAGGAUCCCCAAGCAUUCGCAAUCGCAAGCCCCUGUAAGCUCAACGAGGUGUUAAAACAUUUUGUAACAGAUUGCACAGGUUGUGGCCAUAACGCAAUGCAAUCAAGUGUCACUAAUCUCGAUCGAGAGAUCAUAUUUGCAUCAACUGCCUUGGGGUCCACCCUCCACAGAGCUGCAAUCUGCAGUUGCUGCACUUUUCCUGAGCAGACGUCCUAUCCACAGCAAAGAUAAUAUUUGCGAGUGUGGCAGCAAACGUAGUGACGAAACGCUCUAAGGCGAGCAUAUAAAUCUGUUGUGAUGGUCUAGUCAAUAAAAAAAUAUGUGCCUUUAAGACAAGUAUAAAUUAUUUAGGUCUAACAAAACUCGAAUAUUUCAAAAGUUUAUUUUGUAUGAACCUCAAGUCAAGAACCCUUUUGCCGCUUGGUACCUUUUGGCCACAUUUAGUCAAACGCAUCAUCAAAGGGCCAACUAAAGUUCCGUAUCCGCCCCAUGCAGCCCACCCACAUUUAAUCGCUGGUCAAAAACAAUGGGAACUUUAAACGUUUACGCAUGGCUUGGUCUCGAGAAUCGCUAUGUUAUGUUAUGUUCUGCUCCGGGCCCCUACUUGAGGCAUUUGGAAGCAGACGGGCCAACCAGCGUUUUCAGAGGAAUAGGUCAGUACGGCCGAAUAGAAUUAUUGUUUGAUGUGCUGCACUGUUGCGAUUCCCACGUGGGAAAUAAAGAAGUGCAGGAGGCGCGUAGAUUUAUCUGCAUUAUGCCAUAGCGCGCUGCAGUUUUGUCGGCCAGGAGGAGGCUCCCCCUCGUCGAUCCAACUGGCAAAAAAGCAACUGGCCGAGGGAAAAACGAACAGCACAAGCAAAACAACAAACGACAGGUGUAAUAAAUAACCUAGGCGAAAUGGCCAAGAGGACGAGGAUGCAGCAAUGUAAUGAAAGUGGUGCAAUGCGAGCGCAGAGGAGGGUCAAGGAAGGGGUCACCCUGGACGAGUCCACUAAUUUGUGUCAUUUAGCGCAGGUGGCGACAGAAGAGCCAGAGGAGCGGGGAAGAGGACGAAACGGUCAGGAUAGCAGGACGACCACAACAGAUUGACGCUGAACGAUAGCGCCAGGAAAUGGCCUUUGCUCCGGGCUCCAGGGACGAAGGCUUCGAGCUGUGACCGCAGCCGCAAAGUUGCCAAAAUAGCUACUACUCUGGGUGCUGACCCGAAUCUGGAUUAAUUCAAUCCCUAUCACACAGCAGGGUUCAAUAAUUUAGGAGGGGCAUCGUGUCGCCUAAGAGGGUCAACGGGCAGGGACGUAGGAAGAAUGUAAAGGGAUGCCCAUUUUAUAUGAUGCAUUUUCUAUAGCCUUGCAGAAGGUAUAAUGCUUUCAGUUUUCAUUUGCUCAUCAGUUUUCUAUAGUUUUAAAAGAAGAUCAGAAAUAUUCGAAAAAUAA